AGGCAGAUGAGGCGACCAACUACAACAGUCACAACUCUCAAAGCAAUGGUUUUCUCCUUCCAACGGCAGGAAAAGGAGCUGCUUCAAUCAGCAACAGAGGGACCAGCGACCUGCAGCUUGUUCGAGAUGCUCUCCGCAGCCUGCGCAACAGCUUCAGUGGCCACGAUCCUCAGCACCACACUAUUGACAGCUUGGAGCAGGGCAUUUCUAGCCUCAUGGAGCGCCUGCAUGUUAUGGAGACACAGAAGAAACAAGAAAGAAAGGUUCGGGUCAAGUCACCCAGAACUCAAGUAGGUAGUGAAUACCGGGAGUCCUGGCCCCCUAACUCAAGUAAGUACCCAUUUUUGCUCAGUAGGGACUCCUAGCAUAUUAGACCAGAAAUUUAGUAUUUUUCACACUACAUUUUGGGGAUGUAAUUUUUCUUGUAGUACUUCACUUUUGUACUAUUUUGUUUCUGUAGCAAUACUGCAAUUGAGUUAGUUCUAAGACUAUGAAGACAUAUGCCAUCA
rnacentral:sRNA from 1 species